rnacentral:rRNA from 1 species
GAGUUUGAUUAUGGCUCAGAUUGAACGCUGGCGGCAUGCUUUACACAUGCAAGUCGAACGGCAGCACGGAAGAGCUUGCUCUUUUGGUGGCGAGUGGCGAACGGGUGAGUAACGCAUCGGAACGUACCGAGUAGUGGGGGAUAACUGUCCGAAAGGAUGGCUAAUACCGCAUAUUCUCUGAGGAGGAAAGCAGGGGACCUUCGGGCCUUGCGCUAUUUGAGCGGCCGAUGUCUGAUUAGCUAGUUGGUGGGGUAAAGGCCUACCAAGGCGACGAUCAGUAGCGGGUCUGAGAGGAUGAUCCGCCACACUGGGACUGAGACACGGCCCAGACUCCUACGGGAGGCAGCAGUGGGGAAUUUUGGACAAUGGGGGGAACCCUGAUCCAGCCAUGCCGCGUGUCUGAAGAAGGCCUUCGGGUUGUAAAGGACUUUUGUCAGGGAAGAAAAGCUUGAGGUUAAUACCCUUGAGUGAUGACG